CGUUUCUUAAAAAACGUGACAUUCAGUAGUCAAUCAAUCCCGCAGAAAACGUAUAAAGGACUUUACCUUCUCUGUCAGUCUACACCACCAUCGACUGACGAGAACGUUCCGGCAGAUACCAGUUCACAAAGAAGAAUUCGACAAUGAAGGUCCUAGCUCUUAUUCUGCUUGUCUGCAUGGUGAUUGCCACGGCAUCAUCAAUCCAUCUUUUCCCUCGGGUAUUCCCGGGGCCGUUUUUGUUCCCAAGGCCCGAACCAUACUUCCUGCCAUUCGCCGAACCAUUCGGACUUUUCCGUCGCUUCCCUUACCUCGGAUAAAUGUACUUCAAAAAACGACCUGGUGUCAAGACCUCUCUCAAGAUAUCACGCCUUCAAUACAAUGGAAUUGGAAACGCUCGAUGAAAAACUGAAUAAAUUAAUUGAUCAUUUGUA